rnacentral:misc_RNA from 1 species
AGCAGCCGCGGUAAUUCCAGCUCCAAUAGCGUAUAUUAAAGUUGUUGCAGUUAAAAAGCUCGUAGUUGAACUUCGGGGUUUACCCAUUGGUCAGGCUUAAUUGUCUGUACUGGUGAGAUAAAUCUCUACCUUCUGAGGAACUUUCAUGUCAUUAAUUUGGUGUGAUUGGAAAUCAGGACUGUUACUUUGAAAAAAUUAGAGUGUUUAAAGCAGGCUAACGUCUGAAUACAUUAGCAUGGAAUAAUGAAAUAGGACGGCUUGAUUCUAUUUCGUUGGUUUCUAGGAUCACCGUAAUGAUUAAUAGGGAUAGUUGGGGGCAUUAGUAUUCAAUUGUCAGAGGUGAAAUUCUUGGAUUUAUUGAAGACUAACUACUGCGAAAGCAUUUGCCAAGGAUGUUUUCAUUAAUCAAGAACGAAAGUUAGGGGAUCGAAGACGAUCAGAUACCGUCGUAGUCUUAACCAUAAACUAUGCCGACUAGGGAUCGGACGAAGUUAAUUUUAUAAUGACGCGUUCGGCACCUUACG